UACGGGGGGGGCAAGCGUUGUUCGGAAUUACUGGGCGUAAAGGGCUCGUAGGCGGCCAACUAAGUCGGAUGUGAAAUCCCCAGGCUCAACCUGGGAACUGCAUCCGAUACUGGAUGGCUUGAAUUCGGGAGAGGGAUGCAGAAUUCCAGGUGUAGCGGUGAAAUUCGUAGAUAUUGGGAAGAACACCGGUGGCGAAGGCGGCUCUCUGGACCGAGACUGACGCUGAGGCGCGAAAGCGUGGGGAGCAAACAGG
rnacentral:rRNA from 1 species